GACGAACGCUGGCGGCGUGCUUAACACAUGCAAGUCGAACGGAAAGGCCCUGCUUUUGUGGGGUGCUCGUGUGGCGAACGGGUGAGUAACACGUGAGUAACCUGCCCUUGACUGUGGGAUAACUUUAGGAAACUGGGGCGAAUACCGGAUAGGAGCUCCUGCUGCAUGGUGUGGGUUGGAGAGUUUCGGCGGUUGGGGAUGGACUCGCAGCUUAUCAGCUUGUUGGUGUGGUAGGGGCUUACCAAGGCUUUGACGGGUAGCCGGCCUGAGAGCGUGACCGGGCACAAUGGGACUGCGAUACGGCCCAGACUGCAACGGGAGGCAGUAGUGGGGAAUCUUGCAGAAUGGGCGGGAGCCUGAUACAACAACGCCGCGUGCGGGAUGACGGCCUUCGGGUUGUAAACCGCUUUCGACUGUGACGAAGAGUGAGUGACGGUAAUGGGUCAAGAAGCACCGGCUAACUACGUG
rnacentral:rRNA from 1 species